CCUACGGGAGGCAGCAGUGGGGAAUUUUGGACAAUGGGCGCAAGCCUGAUCCAGCAAUGCCGCGUGCAGGAUGAAGGCCUUCGGGUUGUAAACUGCUUUUGUACGGAACGAAACGGUCCUUUCUAAUACAAGGGGCUAAUGACGGUACCGUAAGAAUAAGCACCGGCUAACUACGUGCCAGCAGCCGCGGUAAUACGUAGGGUGCGAGCGUUAAUCGGAAUUACUGGGCGUAAAGCGUGCGCAGGCGGUUAUAUAAGACAGAUGUGAAAUCCCCGGGCUCAACCUGGGACCUGCAUUUGUGACUGUAUAGCUAGAGUACGGUAGAGGGGGAUGGAAUUCCGCGUGUAGCAGUGAAAUGCGUAGAUAUGCGGAGGAACACCGAUGGCGAAGGCAAUCCCCUGGACCUGUACUGACGCUCAUGCACGAAAGCGUGGGGAGCAAACAGGAUUAGAUACCCUGGUAGUCCACGCCCUAAACGAUGUCAACUGGUUGUUGGGUCUUCACUGACUCAGUACGAAGCUAACGCGUGAAGUUGACCGCCUGGGGNGGACGGCGGCGAGUUAGAACGUACGAAUUAGAAGUUGNGGCGNGAGACGNGCGACGGACGACGACGAGGGAGGAGG
rnacentral:rRNA from 1 species